rnacentral:rRNA from 1 species
AGUCAAGUAAUUAAGUGCAUGUGGUGGAUGCCUUGGCAGUCAGAGGCGAUGAAAGACGUGAUAGCCUGCGAAAAGCUCCGGGGAGGCGGCAAAUAUCCUUUGAUCCGGAGAUGUCUGAAUGGGGGAACCCACCUACUUUAAGGUAGGUAUUGCAACAUGAAUACAUAGUGUUGCAAGGCGAACGAGGGGAAGUGAAACAUCUCAGUACCCUUAGGAAAAGAAAUCAAUUGAGAUUCCCUCAGUAGCGGCGAGCGAACGGGGAUCAGCCCAUUAAGUUAUGUGUGUUUUAGUGGAACGCUCUGGGAAGUGCGAACGUAGAGGGUGAUAUUCCCGUACACGAAAGGGCACACAUAAUGAUGACGAGUAGGGCGAGGCACGUGAAACCUUGUCUGAAUAUGGGGGGACCAUCCUCCAAGGCUAAAUACUCCUGACUGACCGAUAGUGAACCAGUACCGUGAGGGAAAGGCGAAAAGAACCCCUGUGAGGGGAGUGAAAUAGAUCCUGAAACCGCAUGCAUACAAGCAGUGGGAGCACCUUCGUGGUGUGACUGCGUACCUUUUGUAUAAUGGGUCAGCGACUUAUAUUCAGUAGCGAGGUUAACCGUAUAGGGGAGCCGUAGAGAAAUCGAGUCUUAAUAGGGCGUUUAGUUGCUGGGUAUAGACCCGAAACCAGGCGAUCUAUCCAUGAGCAGGUUGAAGGUUGGGUAACACUAACUGGAGGACCGAACCCACUGUCGUUGAAAAGCCAGGGGAUGACUUGUGGAUAGGGGUGAAAGGCUAAUCAAGCCUGGUGAUAGCUGGUUCUCCCCGAAAGCUAUUUAGGUAGCGCCUCGGACGAAUACCAUAGGGGGUAGAGCACUGUUUCGGCUAGGGGGUCAUCCCGACUUACCAAACCCGAUGCAAACUCCGAAUACCUAUGAGUACUAUCCGGGAGACAGACUGCGGGUGCUAACGUCCGUAGUCAAGAGGAAAACAAUCCAGACCGCCAGCUAAGGCCCCAAAAUCAUAGUUAAGUGGGAAACGAUGUGGGAAGGCAUAGACAGCUAGGAGGUUGGCUUAGAAGCAGCCACCCUUUAAAGAAAGCGUAAUAGCUCACUAGUCGAGUCGGCCUGCGCGGAAGAUGUAACGGGGCUAAAACUAUGUGCCGAAGCUGCGGAUGUAUACUUUGUAUACGUGGUAGGGGAGCGUUCUGUAAGCCGAUGAAGGUGUGUUGAGAAGCAUGCUGGAGGUAUCAGAAGUGCGAAUGCUGACGUGAGUAACGACAAAACGGGUGAAAAACCCGUUCGCCGAAAGACCAAGGGUUCCAGUCCAACGUUAAUCGGGGCUGGGUGAGUCGACCCCUAAGGCGAGGCCGAAAGGCGUAGUCGAUGGGAAAAUGGUUAAUAUUCCAUUACUUCUGUGUAAUGCGAUGAGAGGACGGAGAAGGCUAAAUCAGCCUGGCGUUGGUUGUCCAGGUGAAAGGAUGUAGGCAUGUAUCUUAGGCAAAUCCGGGGUACUCUAUGCUGAGAUCUGAUAGCAAGCUGUACUUGUACAGCGAAGUGGUUGAUGCCAUGCUUCCAGGAAAAGUCUCUAAGCUUCAGUUACACAGGAAUCGUACCCGAAACCGACACAGGUGGUCAGGUCGAGUAGACCAAGGCGCUUGAGAGAACUCUGCUGAAGGAACUAGGCAAAAUGGUACCGUAACUUCGGGAGAAGGUACGCUGUUGUUGGUGAUGGAACUCGCUUCCUGAGCUGACGACAGCCGCAGAAACCAGGCCGCUGCAACUGUUUAUUAAAAACAUAGCACUCUGCAAACACGAAAGUGGACGUAUAGGGUGUGAUGCCUGCCCGGUGCUGGAAGGUUAAUUGAUGGGGUUAGCGUAAGCGAAGCUCUUGAUCGAAGCCCCAGUAAACGGCGGCCGUAACUAUAACGGUCCUAAGGUAGCGAAAUUCCUUGUCGGGUAAGUUCCGACCUGCACGAAUGGCAUAAUGAUGGCGGCGCUGUCUCCAGCAGAGGCUCAGUGAAAUCGAAAUCGCUGUGAAGAUGCAGUGUACCCGCGGCUAGACGGAAAGACCCCGUGAACCUUUACUGCAGCUUGACACUGAACUUUGACCUUACUUGUGUAGGAUAGGUGGGAGGCUUUGAAGCUGGAACGCUAGUUCCAGUGGAGCCGUCCUUGAAAUACCACCCUGGUAAUGUUGAGGUUCUAACUCUGUCCCGUGAUCCGGGACGAGGACCGUGUCUGGUGGGUAGUUUGACUGGGGCGGUCUCCUCCUAAAGAGUAACGGAGGAGUACGAAGGUGCGCUCAGCGUGGUCGGAAAUCACGCGUAGAGUAUAAAGGCAAAAGCGCGCUUAACUGCGAGACCCACAAGUCGAGCAGGUACGAAAGUAGGUCUUAGUGAUCCGGUGGUUCUGUAUGGAAGGGCCAUCGCUCAACGGAUAAAAGGUACUCUGGGGAUAACAGGCUGAUACCGCCCAAGAGUUCAUAUCGACGGCGGUGUUUGGCACCUCGAUGUCGGCUCAUCUCAUCCUGGGGCUGAAGCAGGUCCCAAGGGUAUGGCUGUUCGCCAUUUAAAGAGGUACGCGAGCUGGGUUUAGAACGUCGUGAGACAGUUCGGUCCCUAUCUACCGUGGGCGCUGGAAAUUUGAGAGGAUCUGCUCCUAGUACGAGAGGACCAGAGUGGACGAACCUCUGGUGUACCGGUUGUGACGCCAGUCGCAUCGCCGGGUAGCUAUGUUCGGAAGGGAUAACCGCUGAAAGCAUCUAAGCGGGAAGCCUACCUCAAGAUAAGAUUUCCCUAGGACUUUAUGUCCUCUAAAGAGCCGUUCGAGACUAGGACGUUGAUAGGUUGGAUGUGGAAGCAUAGUGAUAUGUGAAGCUGACCAAUACUAAUUGCUCGUGAGGCUUGACUAUACAACACCC